UGGGGAAUUUUGGACAAUGGGGGCAACCCUGAUCCAGCCAUGCCGCGUGAGUGAAGAAGGCCUUCGGGUUGUAAAGCUCUUUCGGACGGAACGAAAUCGUCUGGGUGAAUAUCCUGGAUGGAUGACGGUACCGUAAGAAGAAGCACCGGCUAACUACGUGCCAGCAGCCGCGGUAAUACGUAGGGUGCGAGCGUUAAUCGGAAUUACUGGGCGUAAAGCGUGCGCAGGCGGUUACCUAAGCCAGGCGUGAAAUCCCCGGGCUCAACCUGGGAAUUGCGCUUGGGACUGGGUGGCUAGAGUGCGGCAGAGGGAGGUGGAAUUCCACGUGUAGCAGUGAAAUGCGUAGAGAUGUGGAGGAACACCGAUGGCGAAGGCAGCCUCCUGGGCCAGCACUGACGCU
rnacentral:rRNA from 1 species